rnacentral:lncRNA from 1 species
CUCCCGCCUGGCUCUCGCCUCGGCCUGCGGCCGGGAUCCUCCGCCCGGGUCGCGCAGCGGAGGCCGAGGGCUGGGACGGGCGGCUGGGAAGUGGGAAAGGGAGCUCCUUUUGUCUUCUCUUCCCAUCCCCCAGGUUUGGGAAAGUUUUCCUUUUGGGAAAGCCCCUCUCUUCAGCCUGCUGGCGGGUGUCGGAUUGGUUAGCGACCACCGGCCCCCGCCUCCCCCAACAGGAUUCUCCUUUGGGCCACAGGUCUUCCGGAAGUUGCCAAACCCCGGUAGCGGCAGCGUCCGGCUGGGGGCUUUAUUAGGGGGCACCGGGGUCUGCUUUCCGACUCCCUUCCGACUCCGCGCCUGCGCAGGAAGCGAUUUGGGGAGUGUUGUGAAUUCCGAGGGCUCCACACUUAAGAGGUUGUACACUCACCUGUCUACCUGGACUCCAAUUUCCAUAUUUCCAGCCACUUGAGGACUGAGAGGUGGAUGAUAAACCCUGUCAUAGUGGAGCAAGUUCAGGUGUUUAACCGCUGUUAUGGGGGAUCUGCCUUUUCUCCCUCUUCUUUCUUACUUCCAUAAGUAUGUAUGUGCAGAGAUUGAAAAAUAACCUUGAGAGAGUCCAUCCAUCUAACUCCAGUUCAUUGGAAAUUUCUGCUUCUUUGAGACUGAGGUUAUAUUCCACUUCUUCUGACUACACCACCACCAUCAAUCUCCUUCUCUGAACUCUUGGAUCAUUACUUCAACCUGAAACAACUCAUCAGGCAGAAUAGUUGCCUACUGCCCCAACCCCACCAAAUGUUCCAGCACCUCUGAUAUUACCUCACAUGGCAAGAGGGCUUUGAAGAUGUGAUUGAGUCAAGGAUCUUGAAUGGGGAGAUUAUCCUGAAUUAUUCAGCUGGACCCAGUGUAAUCACAAAGGUUUUUCAAAGAUGGAAGAGAGGCAGAAGAGCCAGAAAAGGAUAUGUGACAAUGGAGUCAGUGUCAGAGUUGGAGUGACGUGAUGUGAGAAGGAUUCAACCUGCUGUUUCUGGCUUUGAGGAUGAAAGAAGGGGCCAUGAGCCAAGCAAUACAGGUGGCUUCUUUCAAGAAGUUGGAAAAGGAGGAAGUGGUUCUCAGAUAAUUGACUAAUCACUUCUUCAUGGUCGUGAACUCAAGGACUUACCUGUUAUGAGGGGAGAAGCAUAAUAAAGAUUACAUCAUGUGAACUUUUGAAAUAAAAUGCCCGAAGACAUAAGAGAGACCCUUACCACUGUCACACUCAAAAGGAAAGCUUAGUAGCUACAGAGAUUUAAAAAGCAAGCAAACAAGCAACCAAGCAAACAACAAAGACCUGAAGAAAAUUCCAGAAUAAUCCUCAACCUGUGCUUUCACAUGCUAAAUUUUCAUAAUGAGAAAGAUAAACUGUGUAUCUUGUGGUGUCAGUGGUCAGUGUGGUGAUAGUAGUUGUGGUUUGGGCUGCUUUUUUCCUUGUUUAUUUUUUCCAAAUUUUAUUUGGGAAAAUUUCUGCUGUUUCCAUUGUGAACUAAAGUUACAUAUACUGGAUGAUAUAACUUUAACUCCUAAGAGUAUGUUUGGCUAUGUUUUUGGAAUUAGGUAUUAUGCAUGCCACCUUGUGGCCAUUAUUAAGAAAACACCUAACAUGAAGACGAGAAACAGGAUCAUUAGUGAGAGCAGCUUGAGCUUGGAGCAGUACUUUCCCAAGUCUGUUUCUCCAACAGCAUCCUUAGAACCCUUAGAACCUGGAUAUCACAUUUUAGUGGGAGGAGACAGACAAUAAAUAAAACAAAGUAUAGUAAGUGCUCUGGAGAAAAGUAAUGCAAAGAAGAGGGCCAGAAAGUAUCAAAAAGUUUGAAAUUACAAAUAAGGUACUCUUGGAAGACCUCACUAAGGUCACAUUUGAGCAGAGAUCUGAACAGCAUGAGAGACAACUGGGGGUGGGGGGGGGCAGAAUAAUGUUUCAGAUAUGUACAUUGCAACUGCAAAGGCCUGAGACAGGAAUUUGCCUGGCCUGUUCCAGCUUAGCAAAGAAAGAGGCCUGUGUUAAUGAUACUCAGAGAGGAAGGAGGCAAUAGUAGAACAUGAAGCCAGAAAAGUGACCAGAUGCAGGAGUGACUAAGGCUUUGUAGACUGCUGUAUAGACUCUGAGGGAAAUGAGCAGUCAUUGAUGGGUUUUUCGCACAGAAGGAUCUUGGUGUGUUUUAAAAGGAACAUUCUGUAUUCUAUGUUGAAAACAGACUGAAAAGCACAAGAGAAAGAACAGGAAGAGCAAUUAGGAGGCUGUGGUAGAUUAUUAUUCAGCAAAUAUUCACCCUACUGUCCUCCCCAUAAGAUUUCCCCAGGCCACCAUCACUGGAUUUGGCUAUUUGACUUGCUGUAGUCAAUGGAAUGUGAGUGAAAAGUGACUCUGUACCAGUGGGGAGGCAAAGCCUUAAAAGACCCAGCAAAUUUCUUCCAGCCCUUUUGUGCUUCUGCCAAAAGAAUACUGUGAGCAAUCAGUGCCCUUAAGCCUGGGCCUCAGAACGAGAGAUAUGGAGCAAACCUGAACCUGAACAGCAGCCUACAAUCAAGCCAGGAUGACCCUGCAAAGCCCAGCCAACGAUAGCAAAGCCACAGCAGACUUGUAGACCAAUGAGCAUGAAAUAAAUUGCAUUGAAAGCU